CCUACGGGUGGCAGCAGUAGGGAAUAUUGCUCAAUGGGGGAAACCCUGAAGCAGCAACGCCGCGUGGAUGAUGAAGGUUUUCGGAUUGUAAACUCCUUUUGUUAGAGAAGAUAAUGACGGUAUCUAACGAAUAAGCACCGGCUAACUCCUGGCCAGCAGCCGCGGUAAUACGAAGGGUGCAAGCGUUACUCGGAAUCACUGGGCGGAAAGAGCGCGUAGGCGGGAUUGCAAGUCAGAUGUGAAAUCCUAUGGCUUAACCAUAGAACUGCAUUUGAAACUGGUAUUCUAGAGUAUGGGAGAGGUAGGUGGAACUCUAGGUGUAGGGGUAAAAUGCGUAGAGAUCAAGAGGAAUACUCAUUGCGAAGGCGACCUGCUAGAACAUAACUGACGCUGAGGCGCGAAAGCGUGGGGAGCAAACAGGAUUAGAUACCCUAGUAGUC
rnacentral:rRNA from 1 species